rnacentral:rRNA from 1 species
CGGGGGGUGCGAGCGUUGUCCGGAAUCACUGGGCGUAAAGGGCGCGUAGGUGGUCUGAUAAGGGUGUGGUGAAAGCCCGGGGCUCAACCCCGGGUCUGCCGUGCCGACUGUCAGACUGGAGUGCUGUAGGGGCAGGCGGAAUUCCGGGUGUAGCGGUGGAAUGCGUAGAGAUCCGGAGGAAGACCGGUGGCGAAGGCGGCCUGCUGGGCAGUUACUGACACUGAGGCGCGACAGCGUGGGGAGCAAACAGGAUUAGAUACCCUGGUAGUCCACGCCGUAAACGAUGGGUACUAGGUGCCUGGGGGAGCGACCCCUUGGGUGCCGGCGCUAACGCAGGAAGUACCCCGCCUGGGGAGUACGGCCGCAAGGCUG